AACUCGUGGUGAGGACACAUCCUUAGAAGCUCCUUGAACCUAUCCCAAGCUUCAUAUAAUGACUCUCUUUUACUUUGAGUGAAACUAGAAAUUUGAUUCCUAAGUU